AAACCAGCACCUCAAGUGGUCAGGAUGAUUAUUGGGCCUAAAGCAUCCGUAGCCGGCUCUGUAAGUUUUCGGUUAAAUCUGUACGCUUAACGUACAGGCUGCUGGGAAUACUGCAGAGCUAGGGAGUGGGAGAGGUAGACGGUACUCGGGAGGAAGUGGUAAAAUGCUUUGAUCUCUCGAUGACCACCUGUGGCGAAGGCGGUCUACCAGAACACGUCCGACGGUGAGGGAUGAAAGCUGGGGGAGCAAACCGGAUUAGAAACCCUAGUAGUCC
rnacentral:rRNA from 1 species